CUAUCACUAACGAACACAAGUGAGUUUGAGUUUCUGACCCUGAGGGAUAGACACAGGGCAAGAGCUGUGUCCAGUCGUCUUGGCUCGGCCCCAGGGGCACAGUGCAGUGGGAGAGAUGUGGUAGGUGGUAGGUAGGUAGCUGAAUGCUGUGGAAACAGAGGGAAGAGGCAUAGAAUACGACUGGGAGAUUUGGGGAAGCUUUUCUGGAGGGCACAUGUCAUGAGGGAUGGUGAGAAGUAGCCUGUGGAAAGGGAUUUUGGUGCAGGAACCAGCCUAAGGCAUGGCAACUUGAGAGACCACGGUCAUGUGACAUAAUUGCUCUGAGUGGGAAAAUGGAACGUAUGUGGCCCCUGCAGUUGUUGUCAUCCUAAGAUUCUGUAAGUAGCGGGGUUUAGCUGAAUGGCCACAAGUGCCCCAAAAUACCCACACACAUUUGAGGUUUGGGUCAGAAAAUGCUCUGAAAAUGGCCAUUUUCUGCAACAAGGUUUUGCAUCCUGGGAACAGAAAUGGAAAUGAACGGAUGGUCAGGGUGAAACGUUGCUGGACCCGUAGAUACGGAGAAAGGCAGAGUGGCAAGGGAGUCCCCGGUGUCAGCAAGAGCCAUGGAAAAUGCCAAGUGUUGCACCAUUGAGCACAACUGGCAUUCACAAGUGGCUGGUGGGAGUGUUACGUUGAUUCAAUCACUUUGGAGAAAACUGGCAGGAUCAACUAACUAGCGGAAGGUCUAGCCUUAUACCCAGGCUGUUCCGCUGAUAUGUUUAUACCCAACAGAAAUAUGCUCACCAACAGGCUUGGCCUGGAGCUCUCCAGAUGCCAGCGAGUACUCGAAUGGAUACCUGCGUGGUGGGUUCUGCCUCCCACAUGUUCACAUCCUGUGAAUAUGUUGCAUUACAUAGCAAAGGGGGAUUAGGCAGCAAAUGGGAUUAACAGGUGAACCAGCUGACAUUAAAGAGAUUAUCCUGGAUUAUCAGGGUGGGUCAAAUGUAUCACAAAUUUCCUUAAAUGAGGAAGAGGGGGACAGAAGGGCCAGAGACGGUGGUAUGAGAAAGACUCCACUAGUCUAUACUGGCUUUGGAGAUGGAAGGAGCCGUGAGCCCGGCAAUGCGGGCGGCUGCUGGAAGCCGAGAAGCAAGAAUGAGAAACUAAUACGUGGAAUAUUCAUAUGGUGGAAUACUACACAGCAAUGAGGACAGAGGAUUUGCAAUUACAUGUAACAAUAUGGCUGAGAACAUGCUGUAUGAUUUAAUUUAUCUCUGAAAGGAAGGAAACCAACAUCUGAGCACCCACUUCCUCUUAGGAAUUUUAUAUGCUGUAUCACAUUUAAUUAUUACAGUCCGUGAUGUAGGUAUCAUUAAUCUGUUUUAAGAACGAGGAGGGGCACCUGGGUGGCUCAGUUGGUUGAGUGCCUGGCUUCAGCUCAGGUCAUGAUCUCACCGCUAGUGAGUUCAAGCCCCGCGUCAGGUUCUGUGCUGACAGCUCAGAGCCUGGAGCCUGCUUCAGAUUCUGUGACUCUGUCUCUUUCCACCCCUCCCUGCUCUCUCUCUCUCUUUCAAAAAUAAAUAAACAUUAAAAAAAUUAAAAAAAAAAAAAAGAAUAAGGAAACGGAGGCCCUGAAAAGUGAAGAGACUUGCCCAUUGUUACCUAGGUAAACCUGUGAUGCAGUCAGCCCUAUGGUUGACUAAUUAAAUUUCUUGUUUGUUCCCCACUCCCUCAAUAUUAUUGCAACAUGCAAUUCAUUUUACGUUCUUCUUUUCGUAUUAAGUACAUGUGCCUGUAAUCACCACCUCUACCAUUAGAUGGCGCAGGUGACCUUUCACCCAGUUAAUGCAUCAGACGGAGAGGCUGGGUGGGUGGGGACCUCAAUUAAACCUCCCUUUCUUGAAUUUAUUUGUUUUAAUUUUAGUCAGAAGUGAGCUUGAAAGAUUGAAAACCAUUAUAAACUUACCCUAGAAAUAAACACAGGUAGCUGGAUCUGUGUGUGUCUGUGGCCAAUUGUAUAAUUGGGAUUGUUCCAAGUUGACAAUCAUGUAAAAUGCCGUUUAUCAAAAGAUAGGUAGUAAAAGUGUGCUUAUUUAUAGCUUACAAAUAUAUUACUAAAUUUUAAUAGUAAUGGUAGCAAUUGUUUAGGACUUAGGCAAACAAAAGGCUUUUUUUGGGUGAGGAAUAUUCUUUCACUGAUACUUUUUAGAAUUGCAGGUAUAUGGUCAUA